UACGUAGGGUGCAAGCGUUAAUCGGAAUUACUGGGCGUAAAGCGUGCGCAGGCGGUUAUGUAAGACAGGUGUGAAAUCCCCGGGCUUAACCUGGGAACUGCAUUUGUGACUGCAUAGCUAGAGUACGGUAGAGGGGGAUGGAAUUCCGCGUGUAGCAGUGAAAUGCGUAGAUAUGCGGAGGAACACCGAUGGCGAAGGCAAUCCCCUGGACCUGUACUGACGCUCAUGCACGAAAGCGUGGGGAGCAAACAGGAUUAGACUACCCGAGU
rnacentral:rRNA from 1 species